rnacentral:lncRNA from 1 species
UAGCAACUCCUUCCGUUGCCAAAAGAAACAGACUUGCACUUGUAGAUUGCUUUCAUUCUGCGCUAUCAAGCCACUGCAUGCGCUGCUUUCACAAAGCUGACAGUCAUCGAUCAUUUUUAAAUGGGUUUAGAGAUUCCAAGGAUUUGAGACGGCAAAAGCAAGAAUACCCCUCUCUGCUUAGUCAUUCCUCUCUAGUCUCCCAGUUCUUUCUGUGCAGCCCUAAGCAACCUCAUCUCUGUUAAGGCUCCAAGCACUCUACAAGCCUUCCCACAGCAAUGAGUGGUUGUUAAAAAUGAGGGAUGAAGAUUAAACCAAAAGAAAAGGGAACAAUUGAAUUUAUUCUAUUAUUUAAACUUUUUUUUUUUUGGUUUUUUUCCGGUACCAGGAAUCGAA